rnacentral:rRNA from 1 species
CCAAUAGCGUAUAUUAAAGUUGUUGCAGUUAAAAAGCUCGUAGUUGAAUUUCGGAAUCUGUCCGUUGGUCGGGCUUCAUUGUCCGUACUGGUGUGAUGGGUUCUUACCUUCUGAAUAACCAGCAUGCCAUUCAUUUGGUGUGCUGGGGAAGCAGGACUAUUACCUUGAAAAAAUUAGAGUGCUCAAAGCAGGCUAGUGCCUGAAUACAUUAGCAUGGAAUAAUAAAAUAGGACGGCAUGGUUCUAUUUUGUUGGUUUCUAGGAUCACCGUAAUGAUUAAUAGGGAUAGUUGGGGGCAUUAGUAUUCAAUUGUCAGAGGUGAAAUUCUUGGAUUUAUUGAAGACUAACUUCUGCGAAAGCAUUUGCCAAGGAUGUUUUCAUUAAUCAAGACCGAAAGUUAGGGGAUCGAAGACGAUCAGAUACCGCCGUAGUCUUAACCAUAAACUAUGCCGACUAGGGAUCGGACGAUGUUAAUUUUUUAAUGACUCGUUCGGCGCCUUACG